rnacentral:rRNA from 1 species
GAACGAAGAACCCACUAUGGGUAACCACUGUGGAAUUCUUAGUGGCGAACGGGUGAGUAACACGUGAGAAACCUGCCCCGGAGACCGGAAUAGCCCAGGGAAACCUGGAUUAAUACCGGAUACCCUCUUGCGAUCGCAUGAUCGAUUGAGGAAAUGGUCCGCCGCUCCGGGAUGGUCUCGCGCCCUAUCAGCUAGUUGGUGAGGUAACGGCUCACCAAGGCAAUGACGGGUAGCUGGUCUGAGAGGACGAUCAGCCACACUGGGACUGAGACACGGCCCAGACUCCUACGGGAGGCAGCAGCAGGGAAUUUUGCACAAUGGGCGAAAGCCUGAUGCAGCGACGCCGCGUGGGGGAUGAAUGCCUUCGGGUUGUAAACCCCUUUCAGGAGGGACGAAGCGAAAGUGACGGUACCUCCAGAAGAAGCCCCGGCCAACUACGUGCCAGCAGCCGCGGUAAUACGUAGGGGGCGAGCGUUGUCCGGAUUUAUUGGGCGUAAAGAGCUCGUAGGCGGCUCAGCAAGUCGGCCGUGAAAACCUGAGGCUCAACCUCAGGACGCCGG